AAUGCUUCAGCUCUCAUUUUGUACAGCCUCGGCCACCUCUGAGACACCGUGUCCCUCUGACCCGAGGAGGAAGGCUUUGCUCCCUACACAACAGCCCCAGCAGGACAGCUGUUCUCAUUCCCGCUGUGUCUGGGGAUCUGAGAUAAUUGCAAUAAUUUGAGGACGUGAGAAAGAAGCAGCACAUCUUUUGUCUGCCAUAGUUCGUGACUGCAUGAAAAGGACGUUGGUUAUUCUACAUCCGAAAGAGUGGAAGGCUCUUAGUCCUCAGGGCAAUGAGCAGGAUGCUGUAACUCUGUUCCUUUGGGCACAUGGAGCUUUAGAACUUCCUGUAAACCCAAGUUCAAUGCUGUUACUUUGCUUAAAUCUCACGUCUCUGAGUAAGUUAGUCAUCAUGCUACAAUCAAGGAGCGUAGGUAAGCAAGUUUCAUCUAGAGAACUAGAGUGCAUGCCCACAGAAUUUCAUGCAGAAAGAAAAUAAUCCCUCAGAUCCAUCAGACUGGUUUUUACAUGGAAGUUCCUGAGCAUGAAUGUGUGUGAUUUAAUCUGCUUCUCAAACCCAGGACACCUGAACAUUUGCCCGAGAUCCUGAAGGAAAAGAGAGAUCAUGAAAGGACAAAGCAAACUUCAUCACCAGCUCCUUUAUGAUGGUCUCUGGUGGUAGACAUGACAACAUGGAGAACGUGCCUACAUCAGACGGUCCCCAGAGCCCAGAACCCCAGCAGGAGGACCACAACCACAGCCAGGGGCCACCCAACCUGGGGUGUCAGACUUCAGUCCCCACCACGUCUCCCAGCAUGCAACAAACGAUUAAACUGUUGAAUGGAUGAGAGAGUGUCACUCUUCAUGACAAUGAGAGAUGAUCUGGAGCAAAGAGCUUGGAAGGAGGAAACCGUGCUUGUCUGAUCACCUCUUAGGGCUCAUCCAUGUAAAAUGUGAGAGUCAGUGGCCUUAUUCUGCACAACACACCACACACACACAUACACAACACACAACAUAUGCACACAACACACACACACACACACAACCUUUUUCACAGAAGUAGAGUGAGGGGAGGGCCCUGGUCCCUUUGGGCUGCUGUAACAAAAGACCACAGCCAUGGAAGCUUAUAAACAAUAGACCAUUCUGGAGGCUGAAGGCCAAGUGUGGUUGGGGUCAGGGUCAGGGUCGGGUCCAGGUCGGGUCCAGGGUCUCCCUCACAGGGAGAUAGGGGCAGGGGCUCCAUGGUCCUUCUGUAACAGCACUGACCCCAUUCCUGAGGGCUCCACUCUCACGAUGAAGUGUCUCUCCUGGGUCACCUCCCAGUACCAUCACAUGGGCAUCAAGGUCUAAUGCAUGAAUCUGGGGGAGACACAAACGUAGCAGGAGCCGAACUGAACAUCCCUGGGCCAUACUUUUGAGUUAUUACUUUUUCACCUUUUUACUUAACAAGAUAAAUUUAAAAGCCAGAUGUGAUCAACCA
ensembl:lncRNA